GUAACAUACCGAACUUCGAAAAUCAUGAAGUCACGGUGUACAUUUAAAUAUUUCCGGUGAGGUUGCGGUGGAAUGUAACAUACCGGAUUUUAAAUAUAAAAGUGAAAAUAAAUAAAAAUAGUAUGAGAUACUAUUUUAUCUGAUUUAGAGAAGCGAAAUAUAGGUUGGGAGUGACCUGUGCUGAAAUCGGAGCGAAAACAGAAGAUUUAAAAUUUUCUGGAAGAAACGGGGCAGAUAAAUUAGCAGAAAAUGUACAAUUUCAGAAAAUUAUGAAAAUUGAAGAAUAUGUCAACAUACCGAACUUCGAAAAUCAUGAAGUCACGGUGUACAUUUAAAUGUUUCCGGUGAGAUUGCGGUGGAAUGUAACAUACCGGAUUUUAAAUAUAAAAGUGAAAAUAAAUAAAAAUAGUAUGAGAUACUAUUUUAUCUGAUUUAGAGAAGCGAAAUAUAGGUUGGGAGUGACCUGUGCUGAAAUCGGAGCGAAAACAGAAGAUUUAAAAUUUUC
rnacentral:lncRNA from 1 species